UAACGGAGCGUAAGCGACGUUCAACACAAAAAUCAGGCAGUGGAGCGUUUUGGGGUGGGGUGACUGCGUACCUUUUGUAUAAUGGGUCAGCGACUUAUAUUCUGUAGCAAGGUUAACCGCAUAGGGGAGCCGGAGGGAAACCGAGUCUUAAUUGGGCGUUAAGUUGCAGGGUAUAGACCCGAAACCCGGUGAUCUAGCCAUGGGCAGGUUGAAGGUUGGGUAACACUAACUGGAGGACCGAACCGACUAAUGUUGAAAAAUUAGCGGAUGACCUGUGGCUGGGGGUGAAAGGCCAAUCAAACCGGGAGAUAGCUGGUUCUCCCCGAAAGCUAUUUAGGUAGCGCCUCGUGAAUUCAUCUCCGGGGGUAGAGCACUGUUUCGGCCAGGGGGCCAUCCCGGCUUACCAAUCCGAUGCAAACUGCGAAUACCGGAGAAUGUUAUCACGGGAGACACACGGCGGGUGCUAACGUCCGUCGUGAAGAGGGAAACAACCCAGACCGCCAGCUAAGGUCCCAAAGUCAUGGUUAAGUGGGAAACGAUGUGGGAAGGCCCAGACAGCCAGGAUGUUGGCUUAGAAGCAGCCAUCAUUUAAAGAAAGCGUAAUAGCUCACUGGUCGAGUCGGCCUGCGCGGAAGAUGUAACGGGGCUAAACCAU
rnacentral:rRNA from 1 species